AGUCCCGCAACGAGCGCAACCCUUGUUCACUGUUGCCAGCACGUUAUGGUGGGGACUCAGUGGAGACCGCCGGGGUCAACUCGGAGGAAGGUGGGGAUGACGUCAAGUCCUCAUGGCCCUUAUGGGCUGGGCUACACACGUGCUACAAUGGCGGUGACAAUGGGCAGCGAAGGGGCGACCUGGAGCCAAUCCCCAAAAGCCGUCUCAGUUCGGAUCGUACUCUGCAACUCGAGUGCGUGAAGGUGGAAUCGCUAGUAAUCGUGGAUCAGCAUGCCACGGUGAAUACGUUCCCGGGCCU
rnacentral:rRNA from 12 species